ensembl:lncRNA
CUGAUUAAGAAAAUCUGUUUCUUUGCAAAUUUGUAGACAAGAUGGACUGUGUGGCCUCCGCACCCAUUGUUGGCCAUCUGUAGAUAUGAGGCUCCAUUAGAAAGUCUUUCUUGGUGGUUAGAGGGUGUAGCAUUGCCUUAGGGCAUUAGUGUGUGCACUGUGUUCGAGGACCUGGGGGAUUACAACGGCUCGUACACUAUCAGCUGAAAUUCAUUAACCCCAGAGGAUAACCUCAGGAGGGAGGCAGUGAAAGCAACUGCCACUAUUGCAGAGCUGAAACCUAUAAUUAUGCAGCCACAGCUUUGCAAUUUGACAAAAUUGAGGAAGGCUGAGAAACAUCUGACAGACGG